rnacentral:rRNA from 1 species
UAGUCCGCGCCGUAAACGGUGGGCGCUAGUUGUGGGAACCUUCCACGGUUUCUGCGACGCAGCUAACGCAUUAAGCGCCCCGCCUGGGGAGUACGAUCGCAAGAUUCAAACUCAAAGGAAUUGACGGGGCCCCGCACAAGCAGCGGAGCAUGCGGCUUAAUUCGACGCAACGCGAAGAACCUUACCAAGGCUUGACAUGUACCGAAAAGCAGCAGAGAUGUUGUGUCCGCAAGGGCGGUAUACAGGUGGUGCAUGGUUGUCGUCAGCUCGUGUCGUGAGAUAUUGGGUUAAGUCCCGCAACGAGCGCAACCCUCGUUCUGUGUUGCCAGCAUUUAGUUGGGGACUCACAGGAGACUGCCGGGGUUAACUCGGAGGAAGGUGGGGAUGACGUCAAAUCAUCAUGCCCCUUAUGUCUUGGGCUGCACGCAUGCUACAAUGGCUGGUACAAAGGGCUGCAAUACUGCAAAGUGGAGCGAAUCCCAAAAAGCCAGUCUCAGUUCGGAUUGGGGUCUGCAACUCGACCCCAUGAAGUCGGAGUUGCUAGUAAUCGUAGAUCAGCAACGCUACGGUGAAUACGUUCCCGGGGCUUGUACACACCGCCCGUCACAUCACGA